rnacentral:rRNA from 1 species
AGAGUUUGAUCCUGGCUCAGGAUGAACGCUAGCUACAGGCUUAACACAUGCAAGUCGAGGGGCAUCAUGGGAGGACUUCGGUCCUUUUGAUGGCGACCGGCGAAUGGGUGAGUAACACGUAUCCGACCUGCCCUGUACUGGAGGAUAGCCUCCCGAAAGGGAAAUUAAUACUCCAUGUGUCAAAUGUCCGCAUGGUCGUUUGAUGAAAGAUUUAUCGGUACAGGAUGGGGAUGCGUUCCAUUAGCCAGCCGGCGGGGUAACGGCCCACCGGGGCGACGAUGGAUAGGGGUUCUGAGAGGAAGGUCCCCCACACUGGAACUGAGACACGGUCCAGACUCCUACGGGAGGCAGCAGUGAGGAAUAUUGGUCAAUGGCCGCAAGGCUGAACCAGCCAAGUAGCGUGCGGGACGACGGCCCUAUGGGUUGUAAACCGCUUUUAUACGGGGGUAAAACGCGCCACGUGUGGUGUCUUGCAAGUACCGUAAGAAAAAGGACCGGCUAAUUCCGUGCCAGCAGCCGCGGUAAUACGGAAGGUCCGAGCGUUAUCCGGAUUUAUUGGGUUUAAAGGGAGCGUAGGCCGCCUUUUAAGCGUGUUGUGAAAUGCAGUCGCUCAACGUCUGCACUGCAGCGCGAACUGGAGGGCUUGAGUGCACGGGAAGCUGGCGGAAUUCGUCGUGUAGCGGUGAAAUGCUUAGAUAUGACGAAGAACCCCGAUUGCGAAGGCAGCUGGCUGUAGUGCCACUGACGCUGAAGCUCGAAAGUGCGGGUAUCGAACAGGAUUAGAUACCCUGGUAGUCCGCACGGUAAACGAUGGA